UAACGCGAAGAACCUUACCAGGUCUUGACAUCCUUUGACCACGCCAGAAAUGGCGCUUUCCCUUCGGGGACAAAGUGACAGGUGGUGCAUGGUUGUCGUCAGCUCGUGUCGUGAGAUGUUGGGUUAAGUCCCGCAACGAGCGCAACCCUUAUUACUAGUUGCCAGCAUUCAGUUGGGCACUCUAGUGAGACUGCCGGUGACAAACCGGAGGAAGGUGGGGAUGACGUCAAAUCAUCAUGCCCCUUAUGACCUGGGCUACACACGUGCUACAAUGGCAAGUACAACGAGUCGCUAACCCGCGAGGGUACGCAAAUCUCUUAAAGCUUGUCUCAGUUCGGAUUGUAGGCUGCAACUCGCCUACAUGAAGUCGGAAUCGCUAGUAAUCGCGGAUCAGCACGCCGCGGUGAAUACGUUCCCGGGUCUUGUACACACCG
rnacentral:rRNA from 1 species